GAACGCUGACAGAAUGCUUAACACAUGCAAGUCAACUUGAAUUUGGGUUUUAACUUAGAUUUGGGUGGCGGACGGGUGAGUAACGCGUAAAGAACUUGCCUCACAGCUAGGGACAACAUUUAGAAAUGAAUGCUAAUACCUGAUAUUAUGAUUUUAAGGCAUCUUAGAAUUAUGAAAGCUAUAAGCACUGUGAGAGAGCUUUGCGUCCCAUUAGCUAGUUGGAGAGGUAACAGCUCACCAAGGCGAUGAUGGGUAGCCGGCCUGAGAGGGUGAACGGCCACAAGGGGACUGAGACACGGCCCUUACUCCUACGGGAGGCAGCAGUGGGGAAUAUUGGACAAUGGACCGAGAGUCUGAUCCAGCAAUUCUGUGUGCACGACGAAGUUUUUCGGAAUGUAAAGUGCUUUCAGUUGGGAAGAAAAAAAUGACGGUACCAACAGAAGAAGUGACGGCUAAAUACGUGCCAGCAGCCGCGGUAAUACGUAUGUCACGAGCGUUAUCCGGAUUUAUUGGGCGUAAAGCGCGUCUAGGUGGUUAUGUAAGUCUGAUGUGAAGAUGCAGGGCUCAACUCUGUAUUACGUUGGAAACUGUAUAACUAGAGUACUGGAGAGGUAAGCGGAACUACAAGUGUAGAGGUGAAAUUCGUAGAUAUUUGUAGGAAUGCCAAUGGGGAAGCCAGCUUACUGGACAGAUACUGACGCUAAAGCGCGAAAGCGUGGGUAGCAAACAGGAUUAGAUACCCUGGUAGUCCACGCUGUGAACGAUGAUUACUAGGUGUUGGGGGUCGAACCUCAGCGCCCAAGCAAACGCGAUAAGUAUCCGCCUGGGAGUACGUACGCAAGUAU
rnacentral:rRNA from 1 species